rnacentral:tRNA from 1 species
GGGGAUACAGCUCAGUUGGUAGAAUGCUUGCCUUUCAUGCAGAAGGUCUGGGUUCAAUCCCUAGCACCACCA